GGACCUAAACUCAGGUCUCCCACAUCCCAGGCCAAUACCCUAACCACUAGACCAUGCUUCCUCUUCUUCAGGACAGGGGUCCAGGAAACAGUCCCUGAAGUUAAAAAAAUGUUACAGGUCUUGUUGACCAGAGGAAAAGGAGAAGAUUGUGCUAGACAAUGGUGGGAGAGAAAGGAAAGUGUUCGUGAUCGAGGUGCUCCACCCAGGAUAAAUAAGGAAUCGGACAAGGGUCAGCUGACACAUCCUCUCCCUGGCAAACACCAUCGGCUGCAGCAAAAUUGCCGACCUCCCUUCAGCACCUUGCACAAUGGGGUCCUGGACCAUGCCUGUGGCUCCUAGGGAUCAAUAUAAUAAUGAGAGAAGAAAGCUAGUGAGUUGAACACAGAUCCAAUCCUGCAACCCCGUCUCUCCCAAGCAGUCCUGACACGUUGGCAGCCACACUGAAGACAAUGAGACUGGUUGUGUGCAUAAGAGUUUCAGGAUCAAGUCCCAAGAUUGCAAGAUCAACCUAUUGUCCGAAGGGAUGAGAAUGACAAUAUUUCAAAUAGGCUUUAAAAUCUCAGCUGAAUAGGCUU